rnacentral:ncRNA from 1 species
ACAGUACAAACUGAACAGACCGGGACAGAACAGGAAUGUCAUGGAGUCGGGUCACACAAGUGACAGUGGUAUUUUUCAUCCACGGGACAGU